GUAACAGGUAGAAGGAGGCAUCUCCGACCCUAUAAAGUAUAUAUAUUCUUGAUCAGCGUCAACAGCCGAGACGAUCUAGCCAUGUCCGUCUGUCUGUCUGUGUGUCUGUGUGUCUGUCCGUCCGUCCGUAUGAACACCUAGAUCUCAGAGACUAUAAGAGAUAGAGCUAUAAUUUUUUUUCGAUAGCAUUUGUUAUGUUUGCACGCAGAUCAAGUUUGAUUCAAAUUUUUGCCACGCCCACUUCCGCCCCCGCAAAUCAAAAAAAUCGAAUAACAAGCGUAAUUUUAAAGCUAAAGUUGCGAAUUUUGGUAUAUAAAAUAACUACUGUAGUAGUUAUGAUUCCUGAAAAUUUGGUUGCGAUCAGAUAAAAGUUGUGGAAGUUAUUAAAGAAAUACUUUUGUAUGGGCAAAAACGACUACUUACUAUGGGUCUGAGUUGCUUUGGCCGGCAAUCUGGUACAUUGUGCCGUUUAUGGUAUAUUUGAAUGAAGGCCAGCGGCUGCGAAAGCCGCCCUGAUGGUGCCCUGCAUCUGGAGUAUGAUUUCGUUUCUUCCAAAUUAUUGAGUUCUUCCCCGACAAGCAUCAUCCAGUUUAAUCGAACCCUAAUCCGAAUCAGCAUCAAUAGAACCCAUAAAUUGGUUUCUCAUGGAGUCUUUUCGUAAAGAGCCGGAAAAAGACACUUAUAGUAUUUGCAGACAACGAGAAACGGUCAACAGUUAUUUGCGAGCUCUGAUUUUGAUUCAUUCUAAAUAAAAGUUGAGCUUGAUCAGAAAGAGCUAUUCUGUUUACAUCAGAUGCUUACCAAGCCUGUGCCGUCGCUCUUUACAAUCUAAAGCAAGCCUCUUCUUCAGAGCUCUGGGAGAAUGUGUCCUUACUAUGUAUUGGCAUGACUGAAGAAUUGCCAAAAAUAUACUGUUCCAUUCCACCCACUUAAGAGAAUUUAUUGCUUCUGCAAUUCUUUUGAGCUCACCUAUUAUGUCUUAUUAUUAAUUUAAUAAUACUUUAAUAAUAAUAAUACUAAUAAUUUAAAAUAAAUAAUAAUUUCU